GACAAACGCUGGCGGCGUACCUAAGACAUGCAAGUCGAACGGGUGGUUGUCUCUUCGGGGAUGGCCGCGAGUGGCGGACGGGUGAGUAACGCGUAGGAACCUGUCGUGGAGUGGGGGAUACCGCUGGGAAACCGGCGCUAAUACCGCAUGCGGUUCUGCUGGGAGACCAGGAGAAGCAAAGCAGGAAUGCGCUCUAUGAGGGGCCUGCGUCCGAUUAGCUUGUUGGGGGGGUAACGGCCUCCCAAGGCGACGAUCGGUAGCUGGUCUGAGAGGAUGG
rnacentral:rRNA from 1 species